AAGCGCCGUAAAAAUGUCCAACUUGGAGGUUGUUCCCUUGAGGAGUGGCUUCCGGAGCUAACGCGUUAAGUCGACCGCCUGGGGAGUACGGCCGCAAGGUUAAAACUCAAAUGAAUUGACGGGGGCCCGCACAAGCGGUGGAGCAUGUGGUUUAAUUCGAUGCAACGCGAAGAACCUUACCUACUCUUGACAUCCACGGAAUUCGGCAGAGAUGCCUUACUGCCUUCGGGAACCGUGAGACAGGUGCUGCAUGGCUGUCGUCAGCUCGUGUUGUGAAAUGUUGGGUUAAGUCCCGCAACGAGCGCAACCCUUAUCCUUUGUUGCCAGCGGUUCAUCCGGGAACUCAAAAGGAACCGGCAGUGAUAAACUGGAAGAAGGGGGGGAUGAACUCCAGUCAUCCUGGCCCUUACUAAUAAGGCUACACACCUGCUACAAUGGCGAAUAUAAAAAGAAACUACUUCCCCAGUGCAAACGGAACUUA
rnacentral:rRNA from 1 species